UUCCCUUCCCUUCCCUUCCCUUCCCUUCCCUUCCCUUCCCUUCCCUUCCCUUCCCUUCCCUUCAUUAUUCUUUUCCUAAAAGACUUCAUGUAAUACAGCUUUUUAUCCUAUCUCAGCUGUGUCUCUACAUUUCCUCUCAUUAGGGAGACAUCCUAUUCUCCUGCUGCCUGUUUCUGAGAGUUUAUGCCCUCCUUUAACACACACUUUGUGGUAAAUGUCCUACUCUUCCUCAAACUUGUGGAGUAAAUAUGACAGACAUACGAUUGAAAGUGGCAGAUGAUACCUGCCUACGUGAGAAAUACCCUAACAUUUAUCUGUUUUUUCAUGCUAUCACAGUUUAUGGAAAUUUUAAAUGUGUAUUCUUAUAAGAAUUAUUACAUAUUUUUCUAACUACAGCAGCUGAAACCACAUAUAGCACUAUGUCUGUAUAGGCCUGUGAUUGAAAUGACAAAUGAUAUUUUUAUGUUGUAUAAUUUUCAGUUAUGCAAUUUCAAUUUCUUGAAAUCUCUCUUCAAACUGUUAUAUGUUGCUCCUCAAAUAAUAUCUAUUUAUGAUUGUCACUUCUACACUGCACCUCCUAUGUUCCACCUGCACUUCUUAGUUCCACAAAACGCAUUAUUUUGUAAAAACAUUAAUUUUUGCCAUAUUUCCUCCAUCCUGUAGACUCAGUCUUCCCUGUUCUGUCAGCUUAGUUUUCCCUUUGCUUUCCAAACUUUUCCUUUUUACACUGAUGUUUUUCCAGCAUGACCCACAAAGGUGGUGAGAGGUAGAUUAGCUAAGCUUUACUCCUGGGCUCCUCAAGGCAAGGAAAAAUAUUUGUAUCAUAGCAAUUAUUUAGAGGCCUAAUUUUAACUGCUGAAGUGUGAAGGUCAGAAGAAGUAGGAAACAGGAUUCCUUGGCAUAGUCUUACCUAAGCACACAAAGAAAAGUUAUGGUAUCAAUACUUUCUUGGAGUACAAAACAGCUAAUCAGCCUCCUGCUAUCAUGCAAGGAUAUUACUACAUCCAAACAUGUUCCUAUAGAGCUUUAAAAAAACUGGCCAACUUUGUUGAGUGUUUAUUGCAUUGAUAUUUUCUUCUUAUAUCCAGAUGCUCCAGUUGGCUUUAUUUUAUUUUGGAGAGAGUUUUAUGUUCUCUCAGAGCACCUCUUGAUUAAAAUCAGAUCAUUCAGUUGCUUUCCCAAUGUGUUUUCAGUCUAAUUUCAGACUUGACAUGGCACAGAGUAUAAUAAAACUUAGCAGAAAGAUACAGAGAGAAAACUGAAGAGCCCAGUAAUAAAAGAUUACAUGGUUCUCCAGUAGAGUCUAAUAAACACAGUGGUGAAGCAAGUUUAAAAUGAAAUCACAGUAAACAACUGCUUUCUUGCUGAUUACCACUGGUAAAAUAAGCACUUCUGAAACAAUGCUAUUUCUGUACAAAAGGAUUAUUCGCAAGCACAUCGUGCAUGAGAGCAGGAAAAUGCCAGGAACAAUGGAGGGAAAACCGUGAGCUCAUCUGCCUGUCAGAGCCUUUUCUGUUUUAAAAGGUGAUCAUGCAGUUCAUAGGAUGGAGGGCUCUAGCCAAGGGAGAGGCCAUUUGCCCUGCAGCUUGGGCAGCUCCUUUUACCACAUGGGUUUUUGGGAAGGAGGGAAAGAAGCACCUGUGAGGGGCUGCUGCUGCAAGGUGCUUGAUCCAAUCCAACAGGCAAUUAAUGACAUACUUAACUUUACCUUUCCUGAGUAAAAUUUAUAUCCUGGGUUGGAUUUGACUACAGGGCACAACACCUCAUAGAAUAGGACCUUCACAUUUCUGGUCCUAGUUUAGAAGGUAUGUGCAUAAAGCAAUUUUGUGCUUAUGAACUUUUGGGAUGAUAAUCUAACUAAAAAUUAAUAUUCUCACUCCCCACUCAAAUUUACAGCCUCAGAAGAAAAAAGCUGAAGUGCUACAAAGCUAGUAAAAAUUAGUUUUAUUUUAAAAUACAAUUUCUAAAUUUAAUUCAAAAUUCUGUAAGAAAAGUGGUUAAAAUCCUGGCUACAAGCAGGGUGACAGACAAAUUGAAAGAACAAGACUGUCCACAAAGACUUUCAGCUAUGCAACAAUGCAAGAGAAAUGCAUUUCCAGCAGCUGGUAUCAGGAUUUCUUUUACUAUUGCAAUAGUGGAAAAGUGGGGAGAAAACCAAAGUCCGUUGGAUGUUCAGGGCCCAGGAAAUAACAGCAGAGCAGAAUAAUAAUGAGUGCUGCUAACUUCCUUCAUCAUACAGUAGUUGAUUAAAAAAAAACAACCCAACAUAUAUAAAAGGCCCUGGGCAAAAUUUGAGCUAUGCAUGUUGCUGACGAACAGCACAGUGAGCUGGAGUUGACUGAGCAUGGAUUUUUUCUAGUAGAGCUAGAGGUAAAUGGCUUUGUCAUCCAUUACACUUUCCCAGCUUUCUUAGAUUUCCCCCCUGGAACAAAGCCAGGACAUUAUGGGGAGCGGAAGGUUUGAUAUGUGCAUGGAAUGAACAAGAAAAUCUCCUGUCUCAGGCUGCCGAGAGCUGAAAGACUCAAAUUCAAGUCCCUUCACUUCCAGCCUUCUGUCUGCAGACAGCAGCUGCCAGGCUGUUAUCCUAAGUGUCCCUUUCAUAGUGUUGCUGUUCUACACUCUGUAAAUAUCCAGAUAUAUCUGUGAGCAUAUGUGAGGACUACUCUGCCUUUGGCCCAUGGGAUGACCUAUGGAAAGUGAGGUUGUUUCUUUCUCUCUCGGAGGUUCCCCCUUGCCACCCCACUGGUGGGAUGGCAGAGUGCCCUGGCUCACUCAGAAGUGAUGCAGGUUUGAGGCUGCACGAGCCCACUGUCCUCCAGGGCUGGCUCUGACCCAGUCAUAGGGCUUGACUGAACAAGUGCUUUAUUCCAUAUCAAAAGCUAGAGUGCCUGUUGUGUGGAAUUGGCUCUGAAAUGCAUUCAAACUGUGUUAGGAAGCAUGUGAGGGUCUGUUAACAUGUGAUCAGAUUUAAAUUGUGGAUGCUUAUGCUUAAACCUCACUCCAAUCUAACUAAGCAGUAAAAAUUUCUUUUUUCUCUCUCUAACCCACUGCUACAGUUAGUUGAUCUUUCACCAGCCACUAGCCAUAUUCUCCAUCUAAAAAUAUAAUCAAAGUCUGCUCCUCCAAAUUCCCUGAAAACUCUGUAAACUAUAAAGAAAAGAAAAAUACUAAAUGUGGAAGGUCAUUACUCUGACCCUGCUGUUCUAAAAUGUAUUGGCUAUGAAAUAAAGUUUAGUGAAUUUUUAGUGCAUAGUUACAGUUAAAAUACUGUCCUUCUUUCCUCCAUUUGCAAUAAUUUUACUCAGAUUCACUUUGCACUAGUAGAUGUACACAUGUGCAGCUUUAGAAUUCUGAUGUUAUAAUUAGAUCUGUGUAUUUGGUCAGGCAAGCUCAAGGUUGUCUACUUAUUUCUUCAUAAUGUUCUACUCCUAGUACCAUUUAACACCCUGUUGAGCAAAAGCCUAGUAACCUUCCUCAGUCAGCAUCACAUGCAUCCUUUUUUUCCCCUUUUUUAAAAUUCUCACCAUCACAUGUGGGAGGUUUCUUCUUUACCAGAACAAGACAAGAAUAUUUUUCAAAAGUAAGAAUAGAAAACGAAUAUGUAAAAUUUUCCUUAAACUUCAUAAAGAAUCAUCUCCUGACACGGAUGUAAUUGUGAGUCCAUAUCAACCAGACGACCUUCUUCUAAAAGAUGUGGGGAAAGAAAGAAAGAAAGAAUGAAAGAAAGAAAGAAAGAAAGAAAGAAAGAAAGAAAGAAAGAAAGAAAGAAAGAAAGAAAGAAAGAAAGAAAGAAAGAAAGAAAGAAAGAAAGAAAGAAAGAAAGAAAGAAAGAAAGAAAGAAAGAAAGAAAGGAAAGAAAGAUAAUAUCUAUUUCUGAGCUAGGUAGCCUGGGAAGCAGAAUUGUCAGCCAUAGUAAAGCUAUUCCAGCUCAGAAUCUCUGAAAGACAUUUUCAGUAUCUUUGCAGGAUCUUAACUGACCUACCAGUGCAUAUGAAACAAAAAUUUAUUUUAUUUUGGUUGUAAAAUCCAUUCUAUCUACAGCACUAGGUUUUCAAACCAUGUUUACAUCACUAGGUUUCACCUAUUGUAGGGGGAGUAUGUAAAGUCCUGGAAGACUUCUACACAGAUGGCCUUAAUCCAUGGGGAGAUAGCAGAUUAUUACCAGGGUUAUUGGCAUUCAUGGAGUGCUUGGUCUGGCUGGCAAAUGAUGACAUCAAUCUUGGUGAAAAAGGGAUCAUGCAUAUUCUAUAUGCAAUCAAGUGCUAAAUUUAAACACUGGUGGGACAAUAAAUUGUUUUGCAAGAAGGGUCAUUAGUAGCCAAGGGCCUGAACCACCAAACCUUUAUUUACAUGAACAGCCUUUGCUCACAGAGGUUAUCUCAUUAGACAACUGCUUUAGUGAAAAAAGGGCCUUGUAAUACAGGGAUUAGUAUCUGAGAAAUUAGUAUCUGAAAGAACAACUUUUCUAAUUACAGAUGAAAAAAAAGUUCAUGUAUGAAAGUCCAUUUGUGGGUUUUAGAAGUAUGAAUGCUGUCCGCUUCUUAACAAUGGGAAUCAAGAGAAAAGUGGGAGUUGUCAAGGUACUAACGAGUACAAAUCUUGUUGUAAUAUUCAAAAUCUGUCCCAUUAAUAUAAUGUCCUCUAUCACACAGUGGCCAAUCCUGUUUGAGCAAGAAGCCUAAUCCCCAUAAAUAUCAUACUGUUUGUAUGGUAUGCUUGAAUUCACUAUUACUAAUGACCAAAAUAUUCUUGAAAGAGGGCACUCUUGAAUAUAUUGUGUCCUUUAUUUUUAUGCCAGACAAAGUAAGGGUUUUUCAUGACUGCAUCAUCUGUGUUUUUUAAUUUAUAUAUUCAAAUAUAAUUAUAAUAGUUAAUCAGAGCAAAGGAAUAAUGCACAACAGCAACACAGAUUUUUUUCCUCCUGAUUUCAGAAACUUUCUGUAUUCUGCUCAUGGGUAUUUGAUCCAUUUGAUUGGCUCACAGUCAGUGUGAACCAGAGUACCAAAGUAUGUGUAAAAUCAUGGCAGAGUUAUUUCCCUUCUCUUCUGAAUCUCUUGUUAAACAUUGUAAAAUUAGUUGCCAUAAAGAGCAAGAACAAUCUCUGCUUUUCAUUCAUUUUUGCUAAAGCAGAAAUAUUGCAAAAUUGUACAUGAACACACAGAGAAGGGGCUGUGUCAGUAGGGAAGGAGUUAAAUAUUUGCCUGAGGUCUAUAUUACUGCCCAUUCCCUGAACCCAAUAUUUACUCUCUAUGGUUUAGGAAAAACCUUGGGAUAAUUAUUGUACUAAUACACAAAACACAUUUUCACUAUUUUCUAAUCCUAAAAUCAAGGUAUAAUGUGAAUAAUUGAAGGCAAUUGACAACAAAUACAAUUAUUUGUAUUAAUAAAGGAUUUUAAAUUUAUUUAAGGUAAUUUAACUUGCAGUAGCUUUGUGUUGCCUCUCCCAACACAUAAAACUUGAAGACAUAGUCAUAUAUUCUAGUGCAAUAAAUAAGUAGUCCUAACUAUUCACUUUUGCAAUAAACACAUCUCAAGUGGAUAAAUUCUUUGGUUUUGGACUUUAUCCAAUCCCCAGUUUGGUUAUUUUUGCCAUAAACAGGGCUAACAUUCUAAGGUAUCUUCAUACCUUUAUUAUAUCUCCUAAUACUGUUUUCUGUGCAAAAGGCCAUUCUUAUGGUGUUGCUUGGAUUUUUUAAAAUGAAUUCUUUCUAAUCAUCUAGCAACUUCUAAAACAGCAGCCUCAGAUCAACUGCUACACCUUCACAAAUUUGCACAUGCUUUUUGGAUUAAAGCUAUCCUUUUCCCUAAACUUUCAGUUUAGGCUGAAAGGAUUCAGUGGAGCCUGGUCAGGGAGCACAGCACUACUGGUUUGUACCUUGAUUGCUUCUGUGUGGGAUCAGAAGUGUUCUCCAGUGGCACAGGCCAUGAUGAGUGGCUGGCCCCCAUGCCCCUCACCCCAUUUUGCUGCCCCUCUAUUCAGCUGCAGCUUUGCAAAGAAUAGUGGGAUGAAAGAGGGAAUGGCCUGAGGAUUGAUGUGCUGUUUCAGUCUGUGGUGGUUGUUUUCUCCUCUAAGGCAGUGAGUACAGAGCACUGAUUAAUGCAGACCUCAGAUGUGCACACUGGAGGAAGGCAAGGAGGAAGGAAAAAAAUGCCGGCAGAAUGCCACUGAGGCUAUGGAUGUGUGUGUGUGUGAGAGGGGUUGGACAUGUGUGCAAGGAAUGCUGGGCUGAGAAUCAUAGAAUCAUAUAAUGAUUUGGGUUGUAACAGAUUUUUAACACUUACCAAGUCCAGCCCCACUGCAUGGGGAGGCAUGUUUUAAGCAGUGACACUGGCUAUGCACCUGAGGGAGCUGAGUGAGAGGAGCAGUGGGCAAAUGAGUGGGCAAGGGCUUGUCUCUCAGUACUGGACUGAACAUCUUCCCUCUCUGUGCAGUACCACUCCAUCAUCAAGCUGUAUUAUUCUGAGGAGGGGAAGGAGUAAUAGAAACCCCUCUUCCUCUGGUUUUAGAGGAAGCAUUAAGUUGGAGUCCCUAUGCAAAUGAUUGGGAUUAUUCCAACCAUCUUCAAUGUAGCUCAUUCUAUGCGGUGUAAAUCUUUCGCCAGAACAAUGACAGAGCUAAUAGUGACAAAUUUCACAAGCUGUGGUGCAUUUACUUAUCAGAGACAAAAGACAGUACAGAAGAAAUCUGCCUUGAAGCAGCAAAGUGCUUAAAUGCUCAGCUAGCCAGAUUCUGUCCACCCCUGUGAAAGGCUCUUGGCUAUCAGGGUCAGCAGAUCUAACAGAUCUUUGUUCUUGAGUGAAGAUUUUUCCAACUCGUGUCACAGCUUACCCUGUACAGAUUUUCCUCCAGGCUUUUCAGCCACUAGAAAGGAUGGAUACUUUCUGUUUCUUCUUUCUUUUAUCGUCCUGUAACUUAGACCAGAGCUUUAUAGCAGCUCUCCUUCCAGCACAUGGGGUUAGUCUAGAGCACAUCACACGGAACCAACGGAACCUCCUGGCCAUCAGAUCUUGCCCCAUGUUGCCAGACACUACCACACCAGUUUGUUCCUUUUGGAAAUGUGAAGAGUUCCAUCCUAAUGGUAAUUAUUUUUUCUGCCCUGUUAGCACUUCUGAAAGAACUUUUCAAAUAAUAGAUUUUCUUAUGUUUAGAAAUCAUCCGAUUUUUGGCUUAAGUGCAUUAAUGGGCAGCUCAUACCUGUUUGUUCUUGACUAAAACGCCUGUGAUGCACUAAGCAUUGCUAAGGCAAGUUUUCACACGUAUUCGUACCAGGAGUCUCUGGACUGCCUCGCUCUCACAGAUUGACACCAGCCUCCCCGAGCAAGGAUGGGUGCGCUGACUGUGCGGAGGGACGGGGCUUUGGCACCGCGGGCGCCCGGCACCCGGGUGUGGCUGCUCGGGUAGUUCAGAGCGAGCGAGAGGCUGUGCCGGCAGCAUCCCGGGCAUUUCCAGCAAGCGCCCGCCAGCAGCCCGACACCGACUGAAAUUUAGACGUCUUCGGAGAGGGGAGGAAGAUCCUCAUCCUCCGUAGCCUCCUCAAUGAGUGCCAAGCUCUCCAAAGAGUUGAGACUGUCCCUGCCGCCUUGUCUUCUGAACAGGACAUCUGGCACCUUAAAUACCAGCAGCACCUGCAUCACGCAAGUGGGUCAACUCUUUCAGUCCUUCUCAUCCACCCUGGUUUUAAUUGUCCUGGUCACCCUCAUCUUCUGCCUGAUCCUCCUCUCCCUCACCACCUUCCACAUCCACAAGAGGAAGAUGAAGAAGCGGAAAAUGCAAAAGGCUCAGGAGGAGUAUGAACGGGACCAUUGUGCCCGCAGCAGCAAUAGCAGCAGCCAGCACCCUGGGACAGUGGUGCAGGGAGAGGCACCCCAAGGAAGAGACAGCCGACUGGGAAGACCCCCCCAGGACUUGGAGAUCCAGCGCUCCUCUCCCUCGUCAGCCCCCACCUCUCAGCAAGCACAGGCUUGUUUGGACACAGCUGGUGUGGGGCUACUGCAGACGGUGAUUUUGUCAUGAUGGUUUGGGGGAGACCUCGCAAAGGCACUGAUUGAUGUUUGUAAAUAUCUGAGUGGUUAUUCUAGUCCCCGAAGAAGAAGAAAGCGUUGCUAAUUCAAAUGAACGAACAAGCUCACGAUCCAAGCGCAUGACAGAUAACAUUGCGUUUCUCAUUGACUGUGUGAGAAAAGGAUGCAUCUUUUUACUGGAGAAGGAGCUGCACACAGCUACUCAAUAUCAAGUCAUCCACCUGCACGAGAGGGUCAGGGGUAGGGGAUCCCUUUUCUCUGGAUGUUUUUACCCCAAGUGUAGGGAUAAUUGGGUUUCCCACUGCUCUUGGGAUUCCCACUGCGCCCUGUGUCAUUGUUACAUGAUGUGGGUUGGGAUGUGAGGGGAGAGGCAGGUCUGUUGGGUGCCUUGGGACUCUUCUGUCGUCUUGGAGCAGACUAGUGGUACACUGUGGUCUCUCCUUUUGUGCUGGGAUCUAUGCCCCUGUCCCACCCCUCUCAUUCCUUUCUAGAAAUGGAUAAUGCUUGGUGUAGAAAUGGCCAUCCCUAGUUGGACUUAACUGCAAACAUCCUCCGACCCCACAGCCCUGUGCCCCCAGCUGCAGCACGGAGUGACCAACUCACUACCUGGAGGAUGAAAUCAGCUGUCUGCAUAGAGUGGUGCCUGAACUUUCCUCUCCCAUCAGCUCCCUUCAUCUUGAAAAGCACCCCCUUCCCCAUGCCAUGAACCCUGAAACCCAAACCCAGUACUGUUCUAUGUGGAAGGGAGGGGUAAUGUGCAGAACCUGCCUGUGCCCUCCCAGGGGAGGUUGUCUUUGUACCUCCUGUUGGUUCUGAAACAAUCCAUUCUGCACUAGGCACCCUGCACUGAAUGCCUGCGUUUACAGCAUUGUCUCCGAGCAAGGAAUCCUGCAGCAGUACAGAUCUUGCUUCUACUUUUUUAGGCUGAUGUGUAUUUUCAACCCUCCUAGUAUUGUAGACAAUUAGGGACAGACAACACUUAAUUUUAUCGUAUGUCCUCUCUUGGGAAACAAUGCAGUUGAAAACGUCCAGUCCCAAACCCUGGCAGAUAUUUAUUUUCGAAGUGGCUGCUUAGAAGUGCUGUAGUUUAUCCCUAGCAAGCACAGAGAGUUUUGUUGUCUCUGGAUGGCGGGUAUGAGUGGCUGCUGGUACUGUGUGCGUUGGAGGAUGCAGUGUGGUUUACAGAAAAUGUGUCUUUGCUUAGUGAUCAAAUCAAUGACCAUUACUUGAAGGUGCCUUAAGAGCAUGCCAUAUCCAAACUUUGAAACAUAUAGUAUGAUAUCGUAGCAGAGGCAGCCCUCUACUGUGCAUACUAACAUCUAAAAAUUGCAGCAAAGAAAAAGUGAUCCUGAGGGACUUAUUUGGUUUUUUUCUUUCUGUUCCAUAAUUUAAAGUGAUUUGAGGAUAUAGUAAUAGCCCACAGUUUUUAAUAUUCUGUAUCCUUUGUAUUUCUUCUCUGACAUCCUCUGUCUGCCAGGGUGGCUGAUUGAAAAAAUCCCAGACAUGUAGACCAGGAGGUCUGGAGCUGUACUAUGUGGGUGAAUGUCAUUAACCAGUUUUAAUCUGGGAGAGUGGCAGAAGUCCUCUAUACUCCUAUAAUACACCCAAAAUGCAGAGAUUUCAGGGCAGUAUUUCUGUUACCAGUUUGCUCGCUUCCUGAUCUUUUCUGGUGUGAUGGGAAAGAUAGCUGUUAAGUUUGGAUGCGUCCCUCCAUCGCUUUAGGGAAGAGCCGUACCAGGGAGCCCAAGGAGCCGCUCCACCUGCUGAGGUUAGUGUGGAGAGCUGCCGUGCGUGCGACCGAGCCAGGGAUGUUUGCGGGAGCCACGGCUGGCUCUUGCUUAUAAUGGGUACUUCGUUGUUGCUGGGCAAGGAAAUUGUCUUUGUUUUGUUUCCCCCUAAUAAAGGAUGCAUGAACUUUUGUGUUUAACCUCCUUAUGCAACUGCGGCACAGUAUUGCACCACAGGGAAUAGAUUUAGGACAAUGAGGAGUGUUCAGUAAGCACUAAUGGAGCUUCCUGACCGUUGAUCUCCACUAAAUAGAGAGGUAUUACUUUCCCCUUUAUUUUGUGCCUUUAAACCACCCCCACCCCAUCCUAAACCAACAGUGUAUAAUUUCGAGUUUUAUAAAAGCAAUAAGAUGUUCCAAGUCACUCCUGUGCAUUUCUGGUUGAUGAUUCCACUUCUUUAGUGUCUGAAGUCAGAUACUCUUCCUUCUGCCUUAUGCACUCAAGGCAUGCAAUAAUUCCCCAGAAGUGUACUGCUUGUCACAUCUCAUUGCAGUUAUAAAAUUGCCCUAUUUUUGAAGAAAAAAAAAGAAGGAUGGAGAGAUAGAUAUAUAUAUCUUUAUAUAUAUUAAGGAUAUACAGGUAUAUGUAUUAUUUAUAUAAUCUCAUACCACUGAAAGUAGUUGCAAAAGUGUGAUUAGAGUUAAAAUAUUAUCAUGUAAAACUCUAUUCUUUGUUAAUUAGCUUUGAUUUAAUAUUUUAAUAUCUCUGUAUUUAUGUAAAUCUGUGUAAAUUAUAUGGUCUAUUAGUAAAAUUUAUACUGACUUUAAUUUUUGCAGAACUGUGAGCUUCUUGUGGUGUCAUCUAAGGUUUUUUAUUUCUAAAGUUAAAUUAGACAAGAUAUGAGAAGUUGUAAAUUCCUAUUAUCACACAGAAUUACUGCAAUAAGGUUCAUGCAUAUUCCCAGUACACAGCCCUAUCUUGAGGUAUUGCAAGCUUAUGAGGUUUAAUUGAAUGGUCUCAGGAGAUCUAGCUGAUACAAGCAGGACACAUAGGUUUUCAUUUUCAUGAAACAAUAAGCAAUCUAGGGAAUAGAUGUGGAUUUUUAAAACCGAGUUUAUGCUUGGAGGUUCUGUCAAAUCAAUUGCUUCAAAACCCUACAGCUACAGCUAAACUUCUGCACUUAGCAUUCAGUAUUAAUAAGGCUGAUGCUUCUUUCCCCUCCUACUUAAACUAGAAAAGAGUAGGAAAUUGUUCAUAUUUCUAAAGCAUACAUUUUCAGCUAAAUGUGAAACUGCCCAAAGGGUUUUGAAUAUACAUAUUUUAUGCAAGUGUAAUAUCUAUGUAUCUGUAUCCAUAUAUUUAAAUAUUUUUGUGUAACCUUUUCUACAAUAUUUGAUAGAGAUGCUGGGUAAAUGCUUGUACCUUUCUUGAACACGAGGAAGGAUUUUUACCCUCUCGAUGCGGACAUUCUUUUUCCUGUGAAUUUGCACUGGUUUUGACGAGUGACAAUGACGACUGGACAGCUGAGUGCUGACUGAUGGAGGCACAGACUGUUUUUGCUCUGUUAGGGGGCAAAUCCUCCGGCUGGAUUUUCCUGGUUCUGAAUUGGAGCUGGUUGGCCACUAGCAUCCCACAUGUGUGAGAAUAAGAAGUGCUGUGGGGCUCAAUAGUUCCUGUCCGGUUCAGCCAUUCCGUGGAAGAAGCAGGACAGCAGUGACUCCCUUUGUAGAGCCUGGUGAGAACAGAGCUGAUGGGUGAUGUGAUGGCUGUGCUGGGACUGUAUUGGAGCAUCAGUGAUGCCUCGUGCUGCACUCCUGAUCUCAGAGCCUGCUGCUGCCCUGGGGAUUCAUCCAGCUCCCGUUGGCAUCAACAGGAGUGGCUUGCACUGACUGGAAGGACUGGGAUCCCAUGUGUAGCCCACACGGAGGGUGACAGCUCCACAUCACCACUGCUGGCCCUGCUCUGUACCUGUCCUAGCAGUCUUCACAGGGAUGGAAACCACUGCCUCCCGCGAGGGCCAGGUGCUUCAGCCUGGUGGCACUGGGGAACCUGCACUGCUCGUGUUAGCUCUGCUUCUAUGGAUUGAGGCACUUAGGUUCCUACGUGGAUCACGGGCAGGGAAUGUCAUUUCAUUAAAAUAUAUCAUUCCAGCAUUUUUUUCUUUGGGGGUUUGUCUACUGCAAUUGUAGCUUCAGAUAAAAUUUGCCGGGCUCUCCGUGCAGACAUGUUUUAACUUUUGAUACAUCUCUCUCAGAUGUAUAUAUCUGUAAGUUUAUAGAUAUAUAUCUCAAAGGAAAUGCUGGACAAAAAGCAAAGAACAGAGACUUCACAUUACUGACAAAACUGUCCUAUGAUGAAAAAAAAACCCUUUUUUUUAAAAUUUAAUUUUAGUGGCUGCAUCUUUAAUGUAAAUAGCAAGUUACUCUGUGAUUAAUGUUUUCCGUAGCAUUUCUGAGUAAUUGCUAUCUUGUUUCUGGAAAGCAAUGUCCAGUGUUAUGAAGCAACUGUGCUUUUUUUCUUCUGUUGUUAUGAAUAGGAGUGCAACUUUAAUGUAUGGAGGAAAAAAGAACAGGAUUUGACUCUUUAUAUAGGACUGAAUUAUUUUAAAUCGAGUUAUAGAAUUUGGUUGCUUUUUUUCCUUUCUUGUGGUUAUUAUCUCUGCACGUUCAUAUUUUUCUAUUGAAACCCUGCAUUUUAAUAAGUAUGCAAGAUAUGAAGGGAAACAUGACAAAUUAUGUAGGAAAUAUUCUUUUUCCUCUUUUUGUAAAUAGCAAAAUUUAUAAUGACUUAGAUACUGUUUCAUUACAUUUCUCAUCUCUGUAGAAUUUGGCAUGACACAUAUACAAAGCUUUAAUAGCACUUUCAUUUAUGUUAAAAGUUAGAACUACUUUUAUCCAGGAUUGACUUAUUCAUCUCUUUCAGGUAUCUAACAUUUUUUCCCCUAAGCCAAGUUUUACAUCUGAUUGCAAAGGAAAUUUCUAGUAGAACAGAACCUCCUUCUAUUUUUAGUCUUUUACAUGUACGUCCCUGGUCUGAAUCCAGCCAAACUUAUUAGUGUAGAAAAUGUGUUAUGAUCUUGCAAGAAGUGGAUGGUGUAUGAGCCUUGAGGAGAGAGGUGACUGGCAAGCAAACAGGUGAAAUGCCUGGCAAUGGAAAUAGUUGAGUUUCCUGUGUGGAGUUGUGGAAGGGAAGCCUCCCCUUCUACUGGAUGAACCUGGGUGAAGGUGACCCGUUCCAGCCACAGCAGAGACAACAAGUAUCCAUGUCCUUGCUGAUCCUGUUGCUCUAAAACGACAUUUUCUAUAUGACACUAGAUCUUAUUUCUGUAAAUUAUGUGUAAUGUAUUUCUUAUUCAAGUCAAAGAGGUUUUCAUUGCUUCGUCAGUAUUGUAUGUUCUCUGUGGAUAAUUAGAAGAAUUAAUUUUCCAACCCUUUUAACCUAAUACCUCCACAAGCAUCAAUUUUGUAUGAGUUAGGAACUAAAUAAAUAUUUGGAUCAGAA